UGGGGAAUAUUGGACAAUGGGCGCAAGCCUGAUCCAGCCAUGCCGCGUGAGUGAUGAAGGCCUUAGGGUUGUAAAGCUCUUUUGGCGGGGACGAUAAUGACGGUACCCGCAGAAUAAGUCCCGGCUAACUUCGUGCCAGCAGCCGCGGUAAUACGAAGGGGACUAGCGUUGUUCGGAAUCACUGGGCGUAAAGCGCACGUAGGCGGAUUUGUAAGUCAGGGGUGAAAUUCCGGGGCUCAACCUCGGAACUGCCUUUGAUACUGCGGAUCUCGAGUCCGAUAGAGGUGGGUGGAAUUCCUAGUGUAGAGGUGAAAUUCGUAGAUAUUAGGAAGAACACCGGUGGCGAAGGCGGCUCACUGGUCCGGUACUGACACUGAGGUGCGAAAGCGUGGGGAGCAAACAGGAUUAGAUACCCCCGUAGUCCCUGAGCGGGCUGGCAAGGC
rnacentral:rRNA from 1 species